UGGACGAUGCCUUUGAUGGCGUGGAACAUCGACUUCUGUAUCUCCUUGUCGGUUGGGAAGUACCACAUCAGAUCGCUCUCUCUCAUCUCCGGCAUGUCUGCUAGUAGCUUGAUUCUUUCCUCCUUCAGUGGACUCCCUGCGCGUACGCACCAAAUUAAUUAAUCCAAACCCUAACUUAAUAGACUUAAUUAAUUGAUUAAUUACCAUCUUGAUCGAUGUAUUUAGAUUGGAGAAGGUGCGGGAUCUUAAACCCUAGCGCCAAGCAUCCGGCGUUGGAGCACCAAAAUACGGCAGUCUUGAGGCCCAUCUUCUUAGGUAUUGCGAGCAUCCAGGCCAAGGCUGAAUCCACAAUGACGCCGCUUAUGCUCUGCGUUUUCUUCGUGAGGAGUUCCUCCAUGUAUGAGGGUAUGACUGUGUGGAUUCUGCCGUGCAGCUUCUUCUGAUCUUCCCAGCCGCCUCCCACUUGGAGGCCGCUGUGAAGUGAGAUGAUGCGCAUCCCUUCAUUCCACUCCGCGCUUUCUGCGUCAGCGCCUGCCUGUGCCUCUGGCAGACCCAUUGUCAGGAAUGUCACCUUCAUGCCC
rnacentral:lncRNA from 1 species